rnacentral:rRNA from 1 species
GACGAACGCUGGCGGCGUGCUUAACACAUGCAAGUCGAACGGUAAGGCCCCUUCGGGGGUACACGAGUGGCGAACGGGUGAGUAACACGUGGGUGAUCUGCCCUGCACUUCGGGAUAAGCCUGGGAAACUGGGUCUAAUACCGGAUAGGUCCUCUGCCUGCAUGGGCGGGGGUGGAAAGCUUUUGCGGUGUGGGAUGGGCCCGCGGCCUAUCAGCUUGUUGGUGGGGUGAUGGCCUACCAAGGCGACGACGGGUAGCCGGCCUGAGAGGGUGUCCGGCCACACUGGGACGGAGAUACGGCCCAGACUCCUACGGGAGGCAGCAGUGGGGAAUAUUGCACAAUGGGCGCAAGCCUGAUGCAGCGACGCCGCGUGAGGGAUGACGGCCUUCGGGUUGUAAACCUCUUUCACCAGGGACGAAGCGCAAGUGACGGUACCUGGAGAAGAAGCACCGGCCAACUACGUGCCAGCCGCCGCAGUAA